UUAGUAUGAUUAUGACCAGGGAUCAUUCGGUAUAAUCUUGACCUGUAAUGUUAUAAAUGAUAUGGUAAAAGUCCUCAGUGGCCUGUAAUGCAUUGAUGGAUAAUUUUUGGUAUGAUUAUGACCAGGGAUUGUUCGAUAUAAUCAUGACCAUUGAUGAUUUAAUGAAUAUCCUUGGCCCGUAGUACAGGGAUGAUUAGAUGAUGUGUUUUAUUUAUUAAGCUGAGUCUCAG
rnacentral:lncRNA from 1 species